rnacentral:rRNA from 1 species
UGAUCCUGGCUCAGGAUGAACGCUGGCGGUCUGCUUAACACAUGCAAGUCGAACGGGCUCUUCGGAGCUAGUGGCGGACGGGUGAGUAACGCGUGAGGAUCUGCCUUCAGGAGGGGGAUAACGACUGGAAACGGUCGCUAAUACCGCAUAUGCCUACGGGUGAAAGAUUUAUCGCCUGGAGAUGAACUCGCGUCAGAUUAGCUAGUUGGUGGGGUAAGAGCCUACCAAGGCGACGAUCUGUAGCUGGUCUGAGAGGAUGAUCAGCCACACUGGGACUGAGACACGGCCCAGACUCCUACGGGAGGCAGCAGUGGGGAAUUUUCCGCAAUGGGCGCAAGCCUGACGGAGCAAGACCGCGUGCGGGAUGACGGCCUAAUGGUUGUAAACCGCUUUUCUCUGGGAAGAUGAUGACGGUACCAGAGGAAUCAGCCUCGGCUAACUCCGUGCCAGCAGCCGCGGUAAUACGGAGGAGGCAAGCGUUAUCCGGAAUUAUUGGGCGUAAAGCGUCCGUAGGUGGUUAUUCAAGUCUGCUGUCAAAGCGUGGGGCUUAACUCCAUAGAGGCAGUGGAAACUGGAUGACUUGAGUGCGGAAGGGGUCGAGGGAAUUCCCAGUGUAGCGGUGACAUGCGUAGAUAUUGGGAAGAACACCAGUGGCGAAAGCGCUCGACUGGGCCUGCACUGACACUUGAGGGACGAAAGCUAGGGGAGCGAAAGGGAUUAGAUACCCCUGUAGUCCUAGCCG